rnacentral:lncRNA from 12 species
GGGGCGAGCGGCCGCGGCGCGCUAGUUCCUCCGUAACUUUAAACUCUCGCUGGCAGCCGCGGCGGCCGGUCACGUGAGGCGAGCCCGGGGCUGCCGGGGAAGAAUUUCCUCCGCGGGGAGCCGGGGCCGGGGUAGGCGGCCGGGCGGGGGCCGGCCCCGCGCGGGGGCCGCGGACGAGCGCCCGGAGGCCCUGGGCGCGGCCCUGGCUGCGGCCGCCGCGGGGCCGGGCGCGGGGAGGUGGAGCGCGCGGGGCCGGGCGCUGCGAGGGUGCGAGCCUCGGCCCCCCGUGCGCCCGGCCCACGGAGCGCUUACUUAUCUGGCGCGGCCCUGAGCGUGGGCCAGAAUGUAAAACCCAUCCCUCCAUUGCAUUUUUCUCAGCGGAAAAGGUUAUCGUUGCCUGUGGCUUAAAGGUUUAAAAAGAGGAUUAAAGGCGAGGAAGGAGGCCGGCCCCCGAAGCAGCUGGGUACCCAGCGCGGCACACGGUCGCAGAAAUGAUCAGGGAGCCCCAAGGCCCCUGUAUGCAGUCCUGGAAGAUAGGACAGAGAUUGGCAUUGGUAUUGAGUAAGAUGCCCUUUGGAUUCCAACUAUGGCCUAGUUAUUUUGUGAUCUUUGGGAGAGGGAAAGGAAGAACGAUGAUUUCAGAAUUUAACAAAGGUGACCAAGAAAGUGCUUUGAAAAUCAAGCUGGUGGGGAAAAAGAUCGAUUGCACUAGAGACCUCGGGGCCACAGGGUCGGCCUGGUCAGGGACCGUCAUCCAUUCCACACAUGCUACGAGGAACAGAAUUCAACCACCUGGGCCAUCUGAUGGCAUAUGCAGCCAUGCAAUGACACAGGAAACCUUCCAGAGUUCUGUUGGCCCUGCCUGGCCUAGCCCCACCCGAGUUCCAGCCCCAUUCCCAACCCCACGUGACCCAGAGACCAAGCUUCACUCAGAAUCUGCAAAGAGAUGGAGGGAUCAGAGAUGA